rnacentral:rRNA from 1 species
UACAGAGGUCUCAAGCGUUGUUCGGAUUCAUUGGGCGUAAAGGGUGCGUAGGCGGCGCGGUAAGUCGGGUGUGAAAUCUCGGAGCUUAACUCCGAAACUGCAUUCGAUACUGCCGUGCUUGAGGACUGGAGAGGAGACUGGAAUUUACGGUGUAGCGGUGAAAUGCGUAGAUAUCGUAAGGAACACCUGUGGCGAAAGCGGCUCACUGGACCACAACUGACGCUGAUGCACGAAAGCUAGGGGAGCAAACAGG